GAUUUCUGGCUUGAAACACUAAGCCGGCCACGGUUUCGUGUGUUAGUGCUUGGUGUUCUGGCCAUCCUUCCAAUCGCCAUCUACUUCUCUUCAUUGAUUAGUAGGUGGUAUUGGAUCCUUUACUUUGAAAAAAUUAGAGUGUUUCAAGCAGGCUAUUGCUAUGAAUACAUUAGCAUGGAAUAAUAAUAUAGGACUUUGGUUCUAUUUUGUUGGUUUCUAGGACUGAAGUAAUGAUUGAUAGGGAUAGUUGGGGGUGCUAGUAUUCAGUGGCCAGAGGUGAAAUUCUUGGAUUCACUGAAGACUAACUACUGCGAAAGCAUU
rnacentral:rRNA from 1 species